rnacentral:rRNA from 1 species
UACGUAGGGGGCAAGCGUUGUCCGGAUUUAUUGGGCGUAAAGAGCGUGUAGGCGGCCUGGAAGGUCAGCUGUGAAAACUCGAGGCUCAACCUCGAGACGUCGGUUGAAACCACCUGGCUAGAGUCCGGAAGAGGAGAGUGGAAUUCCCGGUGUAGCGGUGAAAUGCGCAGAUAUCGGGAAGAACACCCGUGGCGAAGGCGGCUCUCUGGGACGGUACUGACGCUGAGACGCGCAAAGCGUGGGAGGCGA